rnacentral:rRNA from 1 species
UACGUAGGGUGCAAGCGUUGUCCGGAAUUAUUGGGCGUAAAGAGCGUGUAGGCGGCUCGGUAAGUCCGCUGUGAAAGUCCAGGGCUCAACCCUGGAAUGCCGGUGGAAACUGUCGAGCUAGAGUCCGGAAGAGGCGAGUGGAAUUCCUGGUGUAGCGGUGAAAUGCGCAGAUAUCAGGAGGAACACCGAUGGCGAAGGCAGCUCGCUGGGACGGUACUGACGCUGAGACGCGAAAGCGUGGGGAGCAAACAGG